AGGGUUUGAUCAUGGCUCAGAUUGAACGCUGGCGGAAUGCUUUACACAUGCAAGUCGAACGGCAGCACGGACUUCGGUCUGGUGGCGAGUGGCGAACGGGUGAGUAAUAUAUCGGAACGUGCCCAGUCGUGGGGGAUAACGUAGUGAAAAUUACGCUAAUACCGCAUACGAUCUAAGGAUGAAAGCGGGGGAUCGCAAGACCUCGCGCGAUUGGAGCGGCCGAUAUCAGAUUAGGUAGUUGGUGAGGUAAAGGCUCACCAAGCCAACGAUCUGUAGCUGGUCUGAGAGGACGACCAGCCACACUGGAACUGAGACACGGUCCAGACUCCUACGGGAGGCAGCAGUGGGGAAUUUUGGACAAUGGACGCAAGUCUGAUCCAGCCAUUCCGCGUGCAGGACGAAGGCCUUCGGGUUGUAAACUGCUUUUGUACAGAACGAAAAGGUCUCUAUUAAUACUAGGGGCUCAUGACGGUACUGUAAGAAUAAGCACCGGCUAACUACGUGCCAGCAGCCGCGGUAAUUCA
rnacentral:rRNA from 1 species